AUACAUGGCAGCAAGAUGUAAAGGGUUUCUGCCAUCUCGAUCACGGGCCAAACACAUAAAAAAAGCAGAAUCAAAUUGUAAGAUUUCUUUUGCAAAAUCUACAUGGCCCAAUAUUGCUGCUAUGUGAAGAGGAUUCUUAUCCAAGCACUUCAAAGCAGCUUUAUCAAGAACAAGUGGAUCUUCAUGAAUUAACUGACAAAGAGAGGACGCAGGAAGGAUUUAUCCGGAAUAGGGUGACUGCUAUUUGACUUGAUAGUCAUCUCAAGACUUUGUUAAGUCCAAAGGAUUUUCUUUUAAAUUUGAGCAUUUGACACGGUCUUGGUUCAGUAAAGAAUGACUACAUCGCAUGAGAAAUGGAAUCAGGUCCUUAAAAAGGUAAAGGAAAGGGGCGGAACAAUCAUUGGUGUCUUCGUGUCUAGGCAGUGUAAAACAGAGAUUUUUAUGACAAAAAAUACAUUGUAUUCAACUAUCCUUCAUAUGAAUUCCUGCAAGUUAAUUGAGUUAGAA